UAUUAGUGAACACGUGGAGGGUGGUCCUACAUAAUACUACCGAAUAGUGAUGGUACCUUCCCACAUCCUCCACUUUGAGGAUGUGAGUGAAUGUGGAUAGCAUCACAUCAAUGCACGUUAUGGAUAUCAGGAAGGAACAAUCAACAAAAUCAUCCCAAAUAUCUCGUAAAUCUUUUACAGCCGUGCCUAGACGAUCUUUUACUUAUUAACAACGCAUAAUGAGGGCUUGUUACACACUUAACUAACACAGGAUAACAUAAUUUUCAACACCUAUAUCGGUGAGUUGUAAAGUGCCCUGUAGCUUUGGGGAAAUUCACUCGGGGAAUGGGAUAGCUUCUCGGCAGACCAAAAUUCAGGUACAUCUGUGCGUCGUAACAGCACUGGGGGUGGAAGAAAAAGAAAAAUAAACGCGCCACCUAUAGGUCAAGGAUCGUAUCUGAGGAAAGAGUAAUGGAAGUUGACAGUUGAAGGGUCGAGCAGAGAAAGUAGGGUCCGAGUGUCGAGGCAGAAUAGCAUUCGCUUUUUUUCGUCUUGGACACUGAGCCAACUGGUAGCUUCUAGUGAAGCUCAGGAAGUAGAUUCGGAAAAGUGCGCGAGCUUGCUAAAAAGAGAAAGAAAAGCAGUCAGCAAAGAAACUCCACUGCUAAAUUGGGGCAGAUCCGCGGUCGGAACUUUUGCUACCCCUUAGGUUUGGCGCCCCAGCCUCAGUUAAAUCUCAAGGCAAAGAGCACCGCUUCAACAUAAAUCCACCUGGCAAGGGGAAGGCACAGCAGAGGGGAACCCUAAACAAGGGGAACCUAGAGCACAGCAGAGGCGAUAAUAAUUCGGCUAAGGCUGGCCUACCCGAAUCUCAGUGUAAUCUCAAGGCAAAAGAGCACCGCUUCAACAUAAAUGCACCUGGCAAGGGGAAUGCAAAGCAGAGGGGAACCACAAACAAGGGGCAGCUAGAGCGAAACAGAGACGAGAAUAAUUCGACCAAGGCUGGCCUUACUAGCUGAGGAAAGAGACAGUUGCCGUUGGGAAGCAGCACGUCGCGUAUCGCGAGCAGAUCAAAAGAAAACGAAAACCAAUUUUCGAUCAAACUUUUUUUUGUAAACGGAAGAACCCUUCGUCUCAGUGCCGCAGUGUCAUAGAACUCCAGUGGUUGAACCGAAACCGAAAAGCCAGAGCGAGUUAGCGAAAAGGUAGCGGGAUCGGCUCAAAUUUUCAGUCGAACGCAGAAGGAGAGAGAGUGCGAGUGGACGGGAAAGGAGAAAAGAAUAGGAAGAGGAAGUAGAGCAAAUGAGUAAAAUAAUGAAUUUAUAAUAAGCUAAAGAAAAAAAAACCAUACCUAUUAAUUCCACUGCAAAGGGGUAAGGGGGAUUUCGUUGUGCUCUUCUAGGGCGAGUGUGAGUGCAAGUGCCAGUUUACACAUACAGGUACAAACAAAAAAAAUAAAAAUAAAUAAAUGAAAAACUCUUAAUCCCCUCACUAAGAUGUAUCAGCUGGCAUCGAGAAAGCGCUUUCGCCGAUGGACCGCAACACAACUAAAGAAACAAAAAUAUUUGAUGGAACCGCCCUUACAGCCCACGCAUGGAGGGCUGUACAGUACACAAAUUAAUAACUACCGGCAAUAAUCAACACAUUUUUCUUGAAUAAUACUUAUUAAAUAAAUAAAAUAGUGCGGCA